UUGGCAAGUUGACCUAGAAAGUGUGCUAUGUUGAAUUGAAAAUUAAAUCAAAUAUUUUUUUUAAAUUUAUUUACCUUAUGGCGCGCAAUCGAUUUAAUGAUAAGCCAGAGUACAUAAAAACUAAACCAAACCGUGAAAUAAAGAGCAUAAAAUCAACACUUUUCAUGCAAUGGGGAUAAUUUUGCCAAUUUAACAUCGGUACACGCGUUGCAAGCGCUUAAAGGCAAGAGCCGUUUUUUUCACAGCAAAGUAAAAAAAGCAAAACGGUUGUUUGAAUUCAGCAGUACAGUUCAAAUUCCACGUUCAAACUCCUUGAGUCACAUUUACCUACAUACAUACGAGAAUGUCCUGUUUUAAGACGCAGAAAUUUGUUUGAUAACAAAACGCGAAGAGAAGAAAGAGACGGAAGGUGUAAGAGAAUUGUUCUACGCUGGCCAUUGUGAUAUUUUUGGCCAUCUUUUUGCUCUAUUUCUGAAGUGAGUUUGUGAUGAAAUUUAUAUCAAAAAUACUGCAGAACUGCAAUGAAUUCACAAAUCAAAAAAAAAAAAAAAAAUUUAAUUGACAAAGUUACCAACCUAUAAUAAUAAAAAAAAUAUAUAUAAUAUAUUGAACUAUAAACGACGAGGGCAUGGCGAUAUUUGUUAAUGAAUUGAUGGAAGAUGAAGAAAAAACGUGAUAUGAUUCCAUUCAAUGGUUAACCGCUUAACACGCAGCGCGCAUAAAUGGAAAUUUAUCAAAUCAAACAAACAACAACAACAAUGCGAUGAAAAGGGACACCGCAUUUGAAUUUAGCUAAUAAGCGUUGGAGUAGCUGACAAAUGUAUAAAACUUUUCCAAGCAAAAAACAUAGAAAAAAAAACAAAAACGGAAAAUAGAAAAUAAAUUUAGAAACAAAGCUUAGAAUAUUCACAACAACACUAUAAAUAGCUCUGAACAGUUAAAUGAGCAGCAUAGAAAAAUGAAUAUGCGAAUAGAAAUUUUGUAAUUGAAAAGCCACAGUGUUGUUGGAUUGCGCGUAAUAGCUUUGUGAACGCAUGUGGAGGAGGUGAAAACUUUUUCAAUUAAAAUGUAAACAGACGAGGAAGAGUGUGAAGCGCACACAAACACAAAAGCGAUUAUUUCAAUAGCUUCUGGCGCUGAGAGGCACAGCGAUUGGUCUCUACGAACGUAAAAUUUCUAAAUAUAAGGCCAACUCAUCGCUGUGGAACUGAAAUUUUACUGAGGUUAUUUACUAACAUCUGACUAAUUCGCUACAGUCUGAAUGACCCUUAUGCGAACGAAUGUACUCCAGCGUAAAAAACUUAUUAGAUCUUAUCACCAAGGUUAUGGCCCAUCUACAACCACUAAAAACAAACGUCAAUACUGGCAAAUAUGAAACGAAGGGAUGCUUGCAGACUCACGGCAGUGAUAACUGGCCAGAAGAAGGUCUAUCGGCGUAUAAGCGGCCAAAAUGGACAUCCCUCGCAACACACACUGUCACAGUUUCAAACAACUAGAGAAAAGGGAAACGAUUUUCCAUUUCCACUGUGAAUGCCCUGCCUUUUGGAAGGAGAAAAUGUUUUUAAAAUACCAGACAAUCAAGGAAACGACGCGCCUCAGAAGGACUCAAGUGAAGAAUCAUUCGUCUUCACUUUGGGACUUAAAUCGAUCAGCUCUCUGAAGUUUACAAAAUUUCAGAACAAUUUCUAACUAAAUUUCUAAAGAAACAAAUAUGAAAAGAAAAUCGUAUUAAAAAGAAAUGAUUACUUUAAGAAAAGAGUGUAAUGAAAUGGCUAUGAAUAGCCUCCCAAGAAAGAAAGGCAAAGUUGGUGGUUAGUGAUUGCGACGUAUCACAUAUCAAUUCGAAUUUGUCCGAUAGUUUUGCUUUAAUGUUAUGUAAGCUUAUGCAUACACCUACCUGUAAAUAUGUACGAGUAAACUAAUUCCACUACAUCACAAUCGGUUUUAAACGGACAAGAAGUACGAGUAUUGAAAUUACAUAAGAAUUUAAAUAAAUGCGCAAAUACAGAGGCGUUGCCACCUAUUUCCGAUUGUAUUAGUUACUUCAGCCGCCUUAUGCCAAUGACUGCAUUCCCCAACAACUUUCACUCUCUAUGUACGAACACCUCGUUAACAUACAAACUACUGCAGUAAGACUUCUCAGGAAGUGAGAUUGAUAUCUAAAUGACUUUUGCUUAGCUUCGAGUGGGCGGAGUUUCCGUUUGACUCAAAAAGUUCUUAGCCACGUCAAAACAAUUGCAAUGCGAGUUAACUUUAGGUAUAUACUUGUAUAUAUGUAUAUAUAAAUCUACG